AUCCAGUUGAAGAGUCUUAAAUAGGAUGAAAUGCGUAUCCUGGAU
rfam:Schistosoma mansoni, Puerto Rico, WGS project CABG01000000 data, contig: 0242